GUUAACCCUUCAGCGUGGGAGCAUUUAAAUCCCAAGUCUAUACCGUGCUGUGGGAGGAGUUUCUGCUUGGGGAUUUAAUUUUGAGCUGAAAGUGCAUCAUUUUACUUAUAUGGGCACAACUUCCCUAAUAAUUGAUGAAUUUUAGUGAAACUUUGAACAAAAUGUUCACACUACACUAUGAUUUAUAGAAAGGUAAAAAAUUUACCAUAAAAUUUGAGUUUUGUGUGGAAUAUCUUGAAACAGCCAUCAACACAGAGACCAGCCUCACAAUCAGGACACCAAAACACUGUCUCCUUUCUCUUGCCCUGCUUGUAGCACACCACACAACGCUUUGUAGGCCGUGACUUCUUCUCUGUUGGAGGAAUUCUCUCCGGAAAAUGUCUUUCAAUUAGUCGGGGCACAUUCUUGUAUGUGGAGUGUCUCCCUGGCACAUUCCUUUCUACCCCACCACCAUGUUCAACUAGGAGAGCCUGCACUAGAUCCACUCUGUAUUUCAAGUGGUCAAGUUUUAUUCCCGGUGAAUUUGCCCUACAGAUUACCAUUGAAUUUAGAAUUGUGGCAUUUAGCAACCUCAUAAACAUUUUGAUGUACCACUUGGUCAUUUUCUUUCUUUCCAAAAGGUAAUUCUGUAGGAGCUGAUCUUUCAGAUCAACCCCUAUCAUGUUUUUGUUAUAGUCCAGGACUGACGCAGGCUUUUCCCUUUCCUGCCCACCCUUGGUCUUCACUUUUUGUGUAUCAUCACCAUGGUAUGUUGAAAUCAUGGUAACAUUCUUCUUGUCGCUCCACUUUAGGACAGAUACAGGGCCGGAAUGUUGAGCUAUUAGCUCCCCCUUCUUUAGUUUCUUGUCUUUGACAGCUAGAGGAACAUCUUUCCUAUUUAUUCGGAGAGUACCAACACAGUCAGUCUUCAAUGAUUUCAGUAUCCGAGCUAGUGCUGGUGCAUUGUAGAAGUUGUCCAUCCACAAUGUAUGUCCCCUACCCAGUAAUGGCUCUGCUAGAGAUAACACAAUGGCUGAUGUUUUGUUUAUGUCCUCUGAUAUCAAUGAUGACGUGAAAACUGUGUCCUUUCCUGUGUAAAUGAUGAAAGACCACAAAUAUCCCGAAUUGGACUCGCAAAGCUCAUACGUCUUGAUCCCAAAUUUUGACGAUUUUAGUGGAAUAUACUGCUUGAAUGACAGUCUUCCUUUCCAUAGAGUCAGUGACUCAUCUAUUGAAAUAUUCUGACCUGGUAUGUACAAAUUUUGAAAUUUUUUGUUCAGAUAGGAAAUAACAGGAUAUAUUUUGAAAAGCUUUGGAGGGCCCUGGUAUGUGUCUUUGCUGUCAUUGUUACUAAAGUGAAUAAAUUUGCAGACAGAUUCAAAUCUGUCCAUAGAAAUAACAGAGCCAAAGAUAGGUGUUGCCAAAAGGGAAUUUUUUGAAAAAUAAGACCUCAGUGUAGGCUUCUGGACUAUUCCCAUCAACAUGAAAAGUGCCAAAACAACAUACAUUUCAUCAUCAGAUAGAGGUUUCCAUUCUCUCAUCCUUGAUCGAAAUGGUAUAGGAAGGCUCCUGGAAUUUAUGCAUUGCUCUGCAUAGCGAUUUGUUUCACGCACGAUUAGAGAUAUCAGCUCGUGAGUGAAAAAGAGUUUGAACACAUUCACAGAUUCAGUCACACUUUUCUCUUCAUUUUGAGGCCCAAAAUUGCCUACAAAUUGUUCUCUUUGCCCUACAUAGUUGUCCAUGUUCUCCCAUGUAAAAGCAGUAGGACGUGCCACACUCGGUAAACUGCUCCCACUUUGUUCACCGUCAUUGUAUUCAUUUUCAGAUUCGUCACAUGUAAGAAAUUCACGAACAGGUAAAUCAUCGAUUACACUUGAUUCAUCAUCUGAAUCGAACACGCUACUUUCGGAAUCAGUGAGAGGUUCGUCUACACUUCUAGCAAUGUCUUGAGGAGACAAAAAACGCCUGCUACUCGAAGUCAUAAUCACGGCUGACUGACGGCAGAUAUGUACUAUAGACCAAGGGUAAGAACAGAGAAUUCAUUGACUAAGGUUGUUGACAUCAUAUACCGUUGGAAAGCUUGCAAUGUGUCCUACACAGCUGUCGUAACCUUAACUAUAUUACUCCAUUCAUCUUCCCUAGAGAGAGCCACAAAGCAGAGGCUGAAUGCAGUUGAGUUCAAAAAUCGAUCUAUAUUUCAAAGUCGAAAAACACUGGUAAAAUCGAUCUGUCAAGAGUCAUGUUAUAUAUAAAACGAUAGCCAGCUUUUUUCUCUACACGGCUACUGGAUCCAGAAUACAUAAAAUACAAGGUCAGUCGCUACGAAGAAGGAGAAGUCUUAGCGUGCAUUAUGCGAGCAGUGCUCGGCACUCCACACCAUGGGAUGAUUACGUCAUGACUAGCGAUGUUCGGCACUCCACGCUGAAGGGUUAAUAAUGUUGCUAAUGUAGAAUCUUGAGACAUGAUUUACCUCCUUAGAUGCUGGUGCUUCUUGCGUGAGAUACGCUCGAUGUCUGUUAUAUCCAAAAUGCCACAUCUUGUACGUAUUACCUGGACCCGUGAUGUUGCUGCUGUAACGGAUUUGAUCAUGCUUGGAAUGCAACUUCCAAUGUCUGUUACUUGUAAGCUGUAGAAAUAUGCUUGUUAAAACCAAAACUUACGUGUUAUGUCCGGCCCAGAGGACCAAAAUGUUCCUUGAAUGGGAAUAUAUCCCAAUACAGUGGACUAUUACUUUAUUAAAAAAACUUCAAACUCGUACAGAACUUCCAGCCACCUUUCCUCGAUGAAAGCACAAAGUGGAAGAAGGCCAAGAAUACAGUUCACCAACAUUAAACACCAAACAGAAGCUAAGGUUACAGUUUUGCCAACAAUAAACACCAAAAAGUUACAGACAUACGAUGCUUAAGUAAUAAAGUACGCUGUGUUGACAUAUCUGAAAAUGGUUGUGUGUAGAAGGGUUGAGGUUUCAGUAACAUCACAGAAGAAUCCUGAAUUUCAGGGUGUCUAUUUUCCUGUUACUUGGAACAGACCGAUACAUGACCAUUGCGUUAUGUAUUGAUACAUUCAGUAAUCUUUUGAACAAUGUCAUGUACCACUUUGUUCCUCGUUUUCGUUCCAGCACUUUGCUGCAGAGAAUGCAACAGGAUUGCAACAUCGUCACAUAGUGGAAGAAGUUGAGUUUUGUAUGGUGGUUCUUG